UCAGAUAAACCCCCACCAGUCGAGCUCCCCGCUUCGGUUUAUUCCCAUCUCUUCAUCCUCCUUCCAUCCAUCGAUUCUCUCUGUCUCCGUCUGUCUGUCUCUUCUCUCUUUCUGAAACAGAGUCCUUCGUUACUCUGUUUCUUCUCCGGCGGAGCCGAGAUCUCGCCUGUGCGAAGGGGAUCGGAGGAACGGAGAACAUGGACGAUGCGGAGAAGGCGAUCCCCCACAGGCCCGAAUCGAUGCUCCCGCCGAGGAGAGGCCAGAUCAAAGUCAGGAUCUUCAAACUGCUGGCGGCUCAAAUCGUCAAUCUCGCGAAGAUGCUGGGGAAUAUACUGAGGAGCGCGUGCCGUUGCAGUCGAGAGUCCGGCUCCGUGGAGCCGCUGGAAGACACGUAGCCUUCCGACACGUCGCUCGCGUCAUUUUUCCGGGAGCAUACUACCCAUUGGUGCAUGAAUUUUUUUCCUUUCGUUUCUGUUCUUUGCUUUUGUACAGCGGAGCAGAAACUUUUUUUUCUUUUUUUUUUUCAUGUUUUAUCUCGAGUUCUUCCUUGAUCCCGGAUGGGAAGAAAAUUGAGUAACCCACACAAGCAGAGCAUGGCUCAUUGCGCACCCAGUAAAAAGCUUGUAGCUUCUUUCCGUGGGUGCUUCUAUAAUGUUAUUUAUAUAAUAACAGAAGAAAUUUCGAUGGUCGCCGUCGCCAUUCUCUCUCUCUCUCUCUCUCUCUCUCUGUGGGGCCUCUGAUCUGAUGAUGAUGCAGAGAUCGCGCGCAUCGACUCCUGAUAUGGCUACCUUGGAUCCGACCGGGGGCGAGAGACUUGGGUCGUGCUCGAGCCUGUUUCGUGGCGGUGAG
rnacentral:lncRNA from 1 species